CUGGAUGACACGGUAAAACAAACAAAUGAACAGUUGGAAAUGUUGGACUGGAAGUUAGAUAGUGGUAAGGAGCUGGUGGUACCAAUAAACCACCAAGAUGUCUGUCUUAUCAAUUUAAUCAAAUCUGUUUCAGAGCCACUUACAUAAUUGUGUUGAAGGAAGGUACGAUCCGACUACCAACAGUUGCGCCGCGAGCUGAUAGAAGUUCAAGCCCUGCAGAGAGAGCUCUCGUCUCGACUGCGGUCACAGCUGCGGCUCGUUCACAGCAAGUUCGCGCGUCUGAGGCAG